rnacentral:rRNA from 1 species
AUGGCUCAGGAUGAACGCUAGCGGCAGGCCUAAUACAUGCAAGUCGAACGAUAGAUAGAGGCUUGCUUCUAUCGAAAGUGGCGCACGGGUGCGUAACGCGUAUGCAACCUACCUUCAUCUGGGGGAUAGCCCGGAGAAAUCCGGAUUAAUACCGCAUAAAAUCACAGCACUGCAUAGUGCAAUGAUCAAACAUUUAUGGGAAGAAGAUGGGCAUGCGUGUCAUUAGCUAGUUGGCGGGGUAACGGCCCACCAAGGCGACGAUGACUAGGGGAUCUGAGAGGAUGGCCCCCCACACUGGUACUGAGACACGGACCAGACUCCUACGGGAGGCAGCAGUAAGGAAUAUUGGUCAAUGGAGGCAACUCUGAACCAGCCAUGCCGCGUGCAGGAAGACUGCCCUAUGGGUUGUAAACUGCUUUUAUCCGGGAAUAAACCUGCUUACGUGUAAGUAGCUGAAUGUACCGGAAGAAUAAGGAUCGGCUAACUCCGUGCCAGCAGCCGCGGUAAUACGGAGGAUCCAAGCGUUAUCCGGAUUUAUUGGGUUUAAAGGGUGCGUAGGCGGCCUGUUAAGUCAGGGGUGAAAGACGGUAGCUCAACUAUCGCAGUGCCCUUGAUACUGAUGGGCUUGAAUGGACUAGAGGUAGGCGGAAUGAGACAAGUAGCGGUGAAAUGCAUAGAUAUGUCUCAGAACACCGAUUGCGAAGGCAGCUUACUAUGGUCUUAUUGACGCUGAGGCACGAAAGCGUGGGGAUCAAACAGGAUUAGAUACCCUGGUAGUCCACGCCCUAAACGAUGAACACUCGCUGUUGGCGAUACACAGUCAGCGGCUAAGCGAAAGCGUUAAG